ensembl:lncRNA
GAGCAUCCACCAGCUGAGAACAAUACGGAGACAAAAAAUAGCCCGAAGCAGAGAAGCAUCUGAAGCUCAUUUAAGUCAAUGAGUGAGUGGCUGACGGUGGUGAAGGGUGGGGUGAGACUCUGUUCCUCCCCUGCACACCCUGGCCUCAAAGCUCCAGUGACUUGGUAUAAACUUUUUUACGAGCAAUUUUAAAGAACAAUCAGGAUCUAGAUAAAACUCCCGAAGUGUUUGGCUUCUUUAAUUCAGAAAAGAUGACGUGCAGGAGGCAGGACAAGUAGAAAUCAAUUUUUAGCUUUGGGAGACGGUUUCACCUCUAAAAACAAGAAGGAAAAAAAUCAAUGUAAGUGUUUUCUUGAAACAAGAUAUUUGAAUGCAAUCAAUGAAAAAGUCUAGCACUGCAUCCUAAAGUAUUACCUUGUUCUCCACUUUGCAAGAUCGGGCUGACAGUUUUACCGCAUAAUUGUUCAAACAUGUAGUGGCGGAUUGAGUACUUGGACAACAAAACAUAUAUUCAGCUUACUAUUUCAUUUGGACAAGUUUAGAUCAGAGGAAAAAGAAGAAGCAGAGAUUUUCAGAAUCAAUUUUUUUUUUCUGAUGUAGGCUAAACUAACUAAUUUGGGGCGUGGGGACAGGAGAAUAAACAAUAAUGAUGACAAACAUGAUUUUUAAUGGAGAAACUGAUACUUCGCAGUUUGUUCCAUGAAGAUAAUGUAAUUAAAAUAAUGGUUCAUCAGUCAGUCUUUGACAAGUGGACAGAGUGCAGCUCUGCAGUGCUCCACUUUAUGUCUACAGGUUCAGCUCCUCCGCCUUCAGCCAGCCAUCAGGGGGUUCCUCUCUUAGCUCCAUGGCAUAAUUGGCAAACCGUGCGGUGUCAUCUUACCCUUCUCUUUUCAGUGCAGCCUUUUCCCCUCCUCCCUCCCUUCCCCAAAUGGAAAGGGUGGAGAGUAAGGCAGUCUUUCAAAUGUUAGUUUGGUUUGCUGUAACAGCCCAUUGACAGUUUGGCGCAAAAAACAAGCUCCAUACUGAGCUUCAUAUAUCUGGGUCAGGGUCUGCUAAUGCUAGCUAUAUUUGAUCUACGUGGAUGUCAUCAGUGGACCUUUGCAGAGGCUCUUUUGCUUUUUGUGCUGAUUGGCCAUUAAAACAGAGAAUGGAUAUAUCACGCACGUAUAACGCCUAACCGUCUGGGCAUGAAUCUAAGGAUUUGACAUGUUCUUAAUUGUGUGUGCACACCUGCUGACUCAUCACUGAAAUGCGUCGUUGUUUAUCUAGCAUUCAUAUUUGCUUGUGUGUAAUGCAAAUAAAUACUUUUAAAAGACCGAU